AACAACAACCCAGUAUAAUCCCACUUAGUGGGGUCUGGGGAAGGUAGUGUAUACGCAGACCUUACCCCUACCCUUGGGUAGAGAGGCUGUUUCCAAAUAGACUUGCUUACUAUCAGAGCAACCCCUCUUGUCCAAUCAGGGUUCUUAUUAUCUCAAUAAUUUUGUAAAUGCGGCUCUGUGGUGCGGCCUUUUCCCCAACCCUGCGUGAAUGCGAGAUGCGUUGCACACUGGAUUGAUCCCUUCUUUUUUUAAAUUUUGUAAACAGAGG
rnacentral:lncRNA from 1 species